rnacentral:rRNA from 1 species
UACGGAGGGUGCAAGCGUUAUCCGGAUUCACUGGGCUUAAAGGGUGUGUAGGCGGAUUUUUAAGUCAGUGGUGAAAUCUCCGGGCUCAACCCGGAAACUGCCAUUGAUACUAUUAGUCUUGAAUUCUGUUGAGGUGGGCGGAAUACAUCAUGUAGCGGUGAAAUGCUUAGAUAUGAUGUAGAACACCGAUUGCGAAGGCAGCUCACUAAGCAGACAUUGACGCUGAGGCACGAAAGCGUGGGGAUCAAACAGG